UCGGAUUGUAGUCUGCAACUCGACUACAUGAAGCUGGAAUCGCUAGUAAUCGCAGAUCAGAAUGCUGCGGUGAAUACGUUCCCGGGUCUUGUACACACCGCCCGUCACACCAUGGGAGUCGGAAAUGCCCGAAGCCGGUGACCCAACCAAAAGGAGGGAGCCGUCGAAGGCAGGUCUGAUAACUGGGGUGAAGUCGUAACAAGGUAAC
rnacentral:rRNA from 1 species